UUCGUAUCUUGGUAAGUUCUUCUCAAGUUCUUCUUUAAGUAAACCAUAAUAUGUGGAAACACUAGGUUUUUGAGCGUUGAUGGGCUUGUAUAUGUCCAGUCCCUGAUAGGACAGUCCCACUGUAUCCUGUGCAUCUGAUCACAAUACAGCUUCAUGUUGAUACACUUGCAGAUCAUGGCGUCACAUAAGGCCAGCUAGCCGAUCUAUACAUUGGAUUUCCUGCUCUGAAGGAGUUUGGGAUCUCUCAUCACUUCUGCAGACAAGGUUUUACCUGAAGAACCCGCCACUCGGAAAUGCCUGUGAGCUUUUAAGCACUGCUAUUGAGGAGAUGUUGAAAAGAUUUCCAUGACAUAAAAAGUUGUGCUUCUCUUGAGUAAUCGCUUUUUAAAAUUCUUGGGACAUUAUGUAUCUGGUAAGUGAUUAUGUUUCUCUCUUUGCUUUGGGCACUAGAACUGUCAAAGUGCAAUUUGCAAAGCAUUUUAUAACUAUGUAAGCUCCUGUUGGACUCAAUUUUAUGUACUGAAUCCCUGUAAAAGACUUGCCUUUAUUCUCCUUUGCACUCCUUUCUCAAUUUGUUUUUGUCAUGGUAUCUGUAUAUCCAUAAGCAACUCCAAAUCACUUUGAAAGUAUGUUAGGGUAUAAUUACUUGAAUAGAUGUUCUAUUUUUCCUUAUCA
rnacentral:lncRNA from 1 species